AACGAACGCUGGCGGCAGGCUUAACACAUGCAAGUCGAACGGGUGCAGCAAUGCAUCAGUGGCAGACGGGUGAGUAACACGUGGGAACCUUCCUAGAGGUACGGAACAACUCAGGGAAACUUGAGCUAAUACCGUAUACGCUCUUGCGAGGAAAGAUUUAUCGCCUUUAGACGGGCCCGCGUCGGAUUAGGUAGUUGGUGGGGUAACGGCCUACCAAGCCUACGAUCCGUAGCUGAUCUGAGAGGAUGAUCAGCCACACUGGGACUGAGACACGGCCCAGACUCCUACGGGAGGCAGCAGUGGGGAAUCUUGGACAAUGGGCGCAAGCCUGAUCCAGACAUGCCGCGUGAGUGAAGAAGGCCUUCGGGUUGUAAAGCUCUUUUGUCAGGGACGAUAAUGACGGUACCCGCAUAAGAAGCACCGGCUAACUACGUGCCAGCCGCCGCCGUAA
rnacentral:rRNA from 1 species